rnacentral:misc_RNA from 1 species
GAUGACAUUGAGGUUCAUCUUGAUCACAAGCACAUGGGUGUGGGAGGAGAUGAUAGCUGGUCUCCCUGUGUACAUGAAGAAUAUUUACUUUCUCCGGUGCCAUACUCGUUCUCGAUCAGGUUCUAUCCAGUAACUCCAUCCACUUCUGGCUAUGAUGCUUACAGAUCCCAACUUCAAUUGUAGUGAAAUUGGCAUCAGCAUUCAACCAAGUAAAGAACUUGCAAUAAUCUAUUGGUUUGCUUAAUGACAAAAGGGACUUGCCAUCUCAUAGCCAUAGGUAACCUGCAUCGUAUAG